UACGGAGGGUGCAAGCGUUGUUCGGAAUUACUGGGCGUAAAGGGCUCGUAGGCGGCCAACUAAGUCAGACGUGAAAUCCCUCGGCUUAACCGGGGAACUGCGUCUGAUACUGGAUGGCUUGAGUUUGGGAGAGGGACGCGGAAUUCCAGGUGUAGCGGUGAAAUGCGUAGAUAUCUGGAGGAACACCGGUGGCGAAGGCGGCGUCCUGGACCAACACUGACACUGAUGAGCGAAAGCCAGGGGAGCAAACGGG
rnacentral:rRNA from 1 species